CCGUGUCUCAUUGUUCUGCCUCCGAUUCUUGCCGGGCGCGUCGUCGAUGGCAGGGACGGGGGGCCAGCUCGCGGCCCUCGGAGCAGCGGCGGCCUGUGUGUCAUCGCUCUGCCACUGCCUCCGAGUCUCGCCGAGCGCGUCGACGACGGCAAGGACGGGGACAGCUCGCGGCCCUCGACAGGUGAGAGCGUUUAGGCGAAACGAGGCUUGAUUGGCCGCCGGAGAAAAUAGAUAGAACUGUAAAAUCCACCAUGCCCAAUGCUUCAGUGACCUUGGCCAUCUUCCAUGCUCACUCAUGUGUCGCACGCACCAGGGCAAUGUAGAAUUAGAUGCAUGUCUCGGCUCGCCAGUUGUCCCGUCCCGUCGUUAUCCUACAACAGCACCGCCAAGACGGCAUAUCCGGCUCCGUCGGCUGCGGCAGACUCAACGCCGUGGAGCGUGGCGAUGCCCAGCGUGACGACCCACAACGUGGAGGAUCGAGCAGUGCGAUUCACCUGUGUUGUGUGGCUAGGAUCUCGGCGAGGAGCAUGCGGAGGUGGUGGCAGAGGAGACAGGGGAGCAGAUCGAGGCGUGCGGUAGAAAUGCCUGCGUCUUCCUCAUGGUAAGAGGGUCGGUCAGAGAGCCUCCUCGGUUUUUCCCAUGACUGAGCUUAUUUUAUUUUGUCAGGUUCCGUCGAUGCUGCAUAGGUGCUAGACGUCUUGCCUGACAAGGAUAGUUAUCGUUGUUGCAAAAAUUGGUGAUUCUUUGUUGCUGUAUAGGCCUAUUGCUGUUCGCAGUCUACAUUGCUCUCAUAUCAUUUAGAGAGCAUAGGAUUCUGAUUAAUUCUAUUUGCUACAUCAGAAAACUCAACAUCGUAACUGUGCUGGAGCCUGGAUGACAUUGAGCAUGCAUAAUAAUGUGCAUUUACUGGGUUUCAUGACAUAUAUGUAUGAUUAUCUGAACAUUUCAAGUAGUAGUAUAACGUUAUCUCAUUUUGUUGAUAUUGUGGUUUCAACUAUCGGCGCACUAUUGCCGUUUUGCUGUGCUGCCGUUAUACAUUGGAGAUCUCUAUACAUUGUCCUUUGGUUUUGUCAAAAGUAAAGAAUGGUAAAAAGAAAAGUUACUUGCUAUGCUUUCCGUCUAUUUUCCCUUUGCACACUAGUAAGCAUGCACGUGCAACGCACGACUGAUUAGUAUGUUAUUUUAUAUCCUAAUUGAGCUUCUUGAUGCCAGCGUUUUUAAGCAUGGAGCGACAUUUAUUUUUCCUAGCUGCAUCUGAUACCAUGCAAGAUGGACACCACAAAAAUCAAACCAAGAAAAGCAAUAUAGAAAGAAGUCUUACAAGGAUACAAAUCCAUACUUCACAAGCUAGCCAAGGCAGACGGAGCCGAGGUGUAAGGUGGAUGUGCUUUUUCGGCCGCCUUCAAUAACCCAGUCGCACUCAUUUGCUAGAUAUGCUUAGCUACACUGGAUGAUACAAAUACAUGGACUAAAGGGGCUAGUCCAAUUAAUUAGUAGGGACAAACCCAAGCAGAUAUAGCCGAGCUAUCCAGACGCUGGGCAGUGAUGCUUAUUGUAGAUCUUUUAUAUGAUAAAAGCACAUGUU
rnacentral:lncRNA from 1 species